rnacentral:rRNA from 1 species
UACGUAGGGUGCAAGCGUUAAUCGGAAUUACUGGGCGUAAAGCGUGCGCAGGCGGUUGUGCAAGACCGAUGUGAAAUCCCCGGGCUUAACCUGGGAAUGGCAUUGGUGACUGUACGGCUAGAGUGUGUCAGAGGGGGGUAGAAUUCCACGUGUAGCAGUGAAAUGCGUAGAGAUGUGGAGGAAUACCGAUGGGGAAGGCAGCCCCCUGGGAUGACACUGACGCUCAUGCACGAAAGCGUGGGGAGCGAACAGG